rnacentral:rRNA from 1 species
AUUGAACGCUGGCGGCAUGCCUUACACAUGCAAGUCGAACGGCAGCAUGGAGAGCUUGCUCUCUGAUGGCGAGUGGCGAACGGGUGAGUAAUGCAUCGGAACGUACCGUGUAAUGGGGGAUAACGUAGCGAAAGUUACGCUAAUACCGCAUACGACCUGAGGGUGAAAGCAGGGGAUCGCAAGACCUUGCGUUAUACGAGCGGCCGAUGUCAGAUUAGCUAGUUGGUGAGGUAAAGGCUCACCAAGGCGACGAUCUGUAGCGGGUCUGAGAGGAUGAUCCGCCACACUGGGACUGAGACACGGCCCAGACUCCUACGGGAGGCAGCAGUGGGGAAUUUUGGACAAUGGGGGCAACCCUGAUCCAGCCAUGCCGCGUGAGUGAGGAAGGCCUUCGGGUUGUAAAGCUCUUUCGGCCGGGAAGAAAUCGCACAGGCUAAUACUCUGUGUGGAUGACGUUACCAACAGAAUAAGCACCGGCUAACUCUGUGCCAGCCGCCGCAGUAA